UACGUAGGGGGCAAGCGUUGUCCGGAUUUAUUGGGCGUAAAGAGCGUGUAGGCGGCCAGAUAGGUCCGUUGUGAAAACUCGAGGCUCAACCUCGAGACGCCGAUGGAAACCAUUUGGCUAGAGUCCGGAAGAGGAGGGUGGAAUUCCUGGUGUAGCGGUGAAAUGCGCAGAUAUCAGGAAGAACACCCGUGGCUAAGGCGGCUCUCUAGUACGGUACUGACGCUGAGACGCGAAAGCGUGGGGAGCGAACAGG
rnacentral:rRNA from 1 species